GGCCACCCAACUUCUGCUUAAAAUCCUCCAAGGAAGGAGAGCCCACCACCUUGUGGACUCUCCUUCCUUGGAGGUUUUUAAGCAGAGGUUGGAUGGAUCCUUUAG